rnacentral:rRNA from 1 species
UGAGGAAUAUUGGUCAAUGGAGGCAACUCUGAACCAGCCAAGUCGCGUGAAGGAUGAAGGUCUUAUGGAUUGUAAACUUCUUUUAUACAGGAAUAAAUUGGGGGACGUGUCCCCCUUUGCAUGUACUGUAUGAAUAAGGAUCGGCUAACUCCGUGCCAGCAGCCGCGGUAAUACGGAGGAUCCGAGCGUUAUCCGGAUUUAUUGGGUUUAAAGGGUGCGCAGGCGGGAUGUUAAGUCGGCUGUUAAAUUUUGCAGCUCAACUGUAAAAGUGCCUUCGAUACUGGCUUCCUUGAGUGCUGAUGAAGUAGGCGGAAUUUGUGGUGUAGCGGUGAAAUGCUUAGAUAUCACGAGGAACUCCGAUUGCGCAGGCAGCUUACUAAGCCACUACUGACGCUCAUGCACGAAGGCGUGGGGAUCAAACA